rnacentral:lncRNA from 1 species
AAGAUGGAGAGAGCAUUUUGCUGAUCUGGGUUAUUGUCUAAGGGGCCUCACUUAGAAGAAAGUGUGAAGAUGAGAGAAGAAGAAGGGAACAAAGGAAUGGUGAUGCUGGCAUUGGAUGAUUACAGUUCUCUUCCCCGAGAUGUUCAGAGUCUGAAUGACCUUGAAAAUUCAAGAGCGAAACUCUGAUACCACAACUUCCUCUUUCCUCCACUGUUUGUGUAUCAGCACACUUCUAGUUUGCUGCUGACCAGAUACUAUAGACCAUGGCUGAAUCCUCUGACUUACUCCUAUGGAGUUCAGUGAAAGCAAAAUGGAUCCAGGCAUCUAUCAUCUCCUACAAGGGAGUUUGGUAACAUCAGGAGGUGGCCAGUAUCAUGAAGCCAAAACACAUGUGCUGCUGCACUGAAGAACCACGUGGCAAAUAUAUAAAAGCAUGGCCUGCAGCAUUCCACAGACACAGAAACCUUCAUGGAAUUUUACCAGCAUCAGGAUUGAUUGCCAGCUUGAGGAUUCUCUAUUGGCAGCAGGUCCAAGAGGGACACCGCUUCUUUCUCUAGAUCCAGUGAAAGUGUACUACAGGCUGGCUCUGGAGGCAGCCCGACUGCUGCAGAAUCCUCAAAUCCCUCUCUCAGAAAUGGACUUGGUAGAAUCAUGGAGCGAUCCGUGUUCUGUAUUUAAUCUUAGAUCAUGAGAAAAAGUUAAAUACUGAAAUGGGAGGCUCAGAUAAAAGUAUUAGCAACACCAAGUAGCUCAAAAAUCAUGAGUUACCCCCCAUCCCCCAAAAUAUCAUGAGAUUGGUUUAAAAUAUGAGAUUUUUAAAUUAUAUAAUUUGGGGGUCCUUUUUAUUUGCUGCCUUGGAUUUUGAAUCCCUGGGCACGCUUGGCUCACAUUUUCUAGCUUUUCUCUUCCAGCAUGGGGGCUAGAAACUUAUUUUUAUUUUAAAUGAAAGCUGAGAUUCUUUCCUAAUCACAUGCCUCCAGGAGCAGGCGCUUUAAGAAGAACAUCAACUAUUGCAAGACUCACAAUAAAAUCACAAGCGUUGGCA